CGCCUGUUUAACAAAAACAUUUCUUUUUGAUUAUAUAAAAAGUAUUUUCUGCCCAAUGAUAUUUAUUUAAAUGGCCGCAGUAUACUAACUGUGCAAAGGUAGCAAAAUAAUUAGUUUCUUAAUUAGAAGCUAGAAUGAAUGGAUAUAUGUGAUAUAUAUUUUAUUAGGUUUAAAAUUAAAAUUUUAAUUUUGGGUUAAAAUGCUCAAUUUCUUUUUAGGGACGAUAAGACCCUAUAGAACUUUAAAUAUAAUUUAGUUGGUUUUUUUUUUAUAUAAAUUUAUUAAAUUUUAUUUUUAGUUGGGGUGACAGUUAAAUUUUAACUUUAAUUUUGAUAAUCAUUAUUUUAUGUAGUUUUUGAUCCAUAUAUAUGAUAAUAAGAUAAAGUUACCUUAGGGAUAACAGCGUAAUUUUAGUGGGGAGUUCACAUCUAUACUAAAUUUUGCGACCUCGAUGUUGAAUUAAGAUAAAAAAAAGAAGCAGAAUUCUUUAUGUUUAAGUCUGUUCGACUUUUAAAUUCUUACUUGAUCUGAGUUCAGACCGG
rnacentral:rRNA from 1 species